GAUGAACGCUGGCGGCGUGCCUAAUACAUGCAAGUCGAGCGAACGGACGCGACUCUUGCUUCUCUGAUGUUUGCGGCGGACGGGUGAGUCACACGUGUAUCCCCUCCCUAUAUGACUGAGAUCACUUCGGAACACCGGAUCUAAUACCAUAUAAUAUUUUGCACCGCGUGGUUCAAAAGUGAGAUACGGUCUUUCUGUAUCUUAUCGCUGCAUACGCGCUUCAUUAGCUGGUAGGUAAGGUAACGGCUUACCAAGGCAACGAUGCAUGGCCGACGUGAGAGGGUGAUCGGCCACAUUGGAACUGAGACACGGUCCAGACUACUACGGGAGGGAGCAGUAGGGAAUCUGCCGCAAUGGGCGAAAGCCUGACGGAGCAACGCCGAGUGAGUGAUGAAGGUCUUCGGAGCGUAAAACUCUGUUAUUAGGGAAGAACAUAUGUGUAAGUAACUGUGCACAGCUUGACGGUACCGAAUCAGAAAGCCACGGCUAACUACGUG
rnacentral:rRNA from 1 species